GAUUACCUGCUGAUCAAAGGAUGUUGCGUGGGACCAAAGAAGCGAGUUGUCACAUUGAGGCAGUCACUGUUGAAGCAAACAUCUAGGGUUGCUAUGGAGGAGAUUAAACUCAAGUUCAUUGAUACAUCCUCUAAGUUUGGCCAUGGUCGCUUCCAGACAACCCAGGAGAAGGCCAAGUUCUUUGGACGGCUCAAGGCUUGAAACCAGCCUCCAAGGUUGAAGAGAACAUUCAUCUUCUUUCUUUCAAUUGUUACCUGCAUACCAAGGUUUUUAAGACAUCAUUCCCCUCUUCCAAAAUUCUCUAUUAUGUGCUGGGAUUUCAGAUUCUGUUGCUGUUACUUGGAUUGUGGAUUUUGGAUUUUGUCACUAUUGCUUCCAUAAAAGCCAAUUUUGCUCUGAACUUCUUGCCUAAGCUAUUCUUUAUAUUUAAUAAAGAACACAGAGGUUAGCUGUUUUAGCUUUUAUACAUUGGAUUGAGUAGUGAUGAUGGGUAUGCGGAGAGUAGUGAUGAUGGAAAAACUAAAAUGGAUUCAUGUUGGAUCUCUGGACCAAAGUGACUAAGAUCUCAAGAUUUUUAGGCUGUUUGGUGGUUGGGGUUGGAUGAUCCUGGCUUAUGUAGUUGUGCUGGCUUAUCUAUUUAGGUUUUUGAUAAUGCCAUUCUAAUCAAGGUUUUUAGGCUAUGUUUGAUUGGGAGUAUAAGAAAUAAAAUGUGAAAUAUGGAAAACAUAUUUUAUAUUUAUUUAAAAUAAAAUUUAUGUUACAUUAUUAGAAAAAGUAUGAAAUUUUAUUAUUAUUUAAUAUUGUUUGAAUUUUAACCUGACCUUAAUUUGGAUUAGGUUGGGACUAAGAUUCGGUUUUAAAAUAUUUAUAAUGCAUAUUAUCUUAUUUAUUAUAUCAUAUAUAUUUUAUUAAAGGUUUUUAAAAAAAAUACUAUAAAUGGAUUUGAAAUUAUGCAACUCCAAUUCAAGUUUAAUUCGAUCAAUUUGAGUUUAACUUGAUCAACACGAGUCUAAUUAAAACAACCCAAAAUCAAUUGGAAAUUUUAAAAAUAAAUAAAUUGAGGUUUGAGUUACGUAGGUUAGAGUUUGGGUUGAGUUAAGCUUAAAUUGAUUAUUUUUUAAUUUGGAUUUAGUUUGGGUUAGCCAUCAACUCGACCUACCGUUUGGGUUAGUCAUCGACUCAAUCUACCCAUCCAAAUUGCAGCCUCUACCCAUCCAAAUUGCAGCCUAUGUCAAGAACGAGGGGAGAAGCAAAUAAAGCUUUAUUCAUUAAUUCCUAGGUUAGUUAGAGUGUAGGUCCCAAACAAACCAGAUUAUUUUAACAAAAUACGCCCCUAGACGUUAAUUAAAUGAAUGAACAUAAAUGAAAAAGCAAACCCCAUUUUUUCAUUAUUGCAUUUUCUUCACAUUAAUACUUAAAUAACGCUUUAGCAUCUUAAAUUCAACUGAUUUAUAGACUUAUUCUUUCAACUAUAAAUAAAGGGUUUAUAAUAAAAAUCAAUCCAAGCAUGGGUAUCUCCAACACCACCAUGAUAUUGCUUGCAUCAUUUGUGGUGGCUCUUUCACAAAUACCAAUCCAUCUUGCAGACACCCAUCAAGCCUACAAAGAGGAGUCCUUCGUGGAUAUGAUUGAUCCAAAAAUUGGAGUCAAAAUCCAAAACAUCAUGGGUAAUGGAUCAGGAGAGCAGAUCAGUGUUCAUUGCAAAUCCCAAAAAGAUGAUCUUGGGACUCAUAUUUUAAGGCCCAAGGAGUCUAUUCAGUGGAGAUUUCCACCUUCAAAGUUCUUCUACACACCCUUCAAUUGUAAUGUAACAUGGGGGCAGCACUCAGUGAGCUUUGAUGCUUAUGAUUUUUGGAGGGAUAGUGGUAGUAAUACCAACCGUUGCAUGCAGUGUGUUUGGAGUGUGUCAAAAGAUUCAAUUGUUGGAGAGGGUUUAUGGCCGUACCCAGAUCUUAUCAUCAAAUGGCCAAAAAAUUGAAACAAUUGGUUAAACUGUAAUCAAGUUGUUAAUUGAAAGUCAUUAACAGCCAAACACACAAUCGCCUCGGUUGAUUCCCAAGGCAUUUUUAUCUAUGUGAAUUUGCUCGAGUUGAGCUGUUUUUUCUUCAAUUAUAUCCCUUAACUUACGAUAUUUCACAUCAAUAAAUUUGGUUUCGAGAAUGAUACAUGAUUUAUAUUCAUGCCACUCUGGCGAUCAUAAUAUAUGAUGAGGUAAAAGCAUUUAAAUAUUUUUUUAUUGUUACAUUUAUUAUUGUAAAAAAAAACAAAAAAUAAUAACUUUUUCAUACGUGUUACGAAAUAAUAAUGAAAAUAGCAUUUUAUGAACAAAUCAACGAAACUCUUAAAUAUGAAAAGACAGAGUCUACAAACUACGAUAAAUUCAAAUGUCAAAUUACUUAAUAAAGCUUUCUUAUAGGUAUCAAAUCAAUGUUGUACGUGAAACUUUCUAAAUUCAAUCAUUUUCUAGUCAUAAAAUUCGAAAUAAAUUUAGUCAUUGAUCCAUUUUCUCAUGGGAUUAAUUAGGAGUCCAAACCUUUGAAAUGGUACACAUAUGACAUGAUAGGUCAAAUGCUAUAUGGAGAAUCCAAUGUAAUACAUACAUACAUGGUUUAGAGGCUCUUUAAUUAUAUAGUUAGGUGUUGUUGAGAGAUGGUCAAUGUUUGUCUUCAUUUUCCUUCCUUUUUGUGUUGAAACUUGUGUCCUUCAACAACUUGUGUCUUUCCAUCCAAGAAAUGAUGUGAACUUUGAAAACUCUAUUUGUGGUUGAAGGGUUGCCUUCAUGCUAAUUAUUAUUUAGGGUUUCCUAUUGUAACUAAAAGGCAACUUUUAGGAAACUUCAAUCAAAUUUCACCUCUUGACUUAGAGAUUUCUCUUUCUUUUCUCUUGUACCCUUAAUGAACUUUGAAUAAAAGGAUGAUUUCACAAGUUUAGUUAAUAAUCGGAUAGUCCUUCCUAACUCAUUUCUAUCCAAAUACUCACGUACUUUUAUAAUAUAUUUUUGGUCCCGAUGUGUUAUCCCCUUAAACUAUAGAUAAUGCGAUGAUGUUUUAUUGAUAAUGACUACGUUUUUGUCUUUGUAUCAUUAUUAUAAGCACAAUAAUUUAUUUUCUCUCUUUGAUAUUAAAAACUGAUAAUGAUUACGUCCUUGUCCUUAUAUUAUCGUAGAUAAUAUCUCAUCGUCUUUAACAUAAAUUUAAAUUUUACUCGUACUAGCAAAAUAAAGAUAUAAAAUGGCCAUAGAAAAGUGGGAAUUUGACUUGUGAACAAGUCAUGUACAUCACUCACAUCUAAUCAUAUUGGAAGGAAAUUAAUGAUGAAAAUUUAAACUUGGUUGAAUGAGUAUUAAUCAUAUAAUUAACAUGAUCAAGUUGAAUUAUUUUGGAUUUGGAAUUGAUUUGACAUUCCAUCUUGAGAAUUAUUAGCAAGUGGAAUCUACAUCUUAUACAUUUUAUCAAUCAAAAGCAAUCUAAUCAAAUGGAUGGAAAAUUAUGCCAGCUAUGAGACACCCUAUGGGCCAUCAAAAUCAGGUAAAUUCAUCAUUGGAUUGGUUAACAUUUGUCAACCAAUCCCAUCCAAUUUUUUUUAGUAAAUUAUCAAAAAUAAAAAAAUAAAAACUCCAUAUUUUCUUCUUUUUACUUUUUUUUAAUAUAUUAAAACUAAGAUAUAAAAUUACUCAUAAUUUAUAGAAUAACCUAAAAGUUUUAUAAACCAGAAACCUACGAUGAUCAUUCAGUAUUAUAUCAAAUGUUUAAUUCGAAUUGUUGAAUCGUAUAAAAAUAAAUGAAAUCAAAUUAUGAAUAAAUAAAACUAGGAUGCAAAGUAACAAAAAUAAAGUACAAAAUAAUGAAAUCAAGUAUAAGAUAUAAAAUAAUAAGACAUUAAAGGAGUGUUUGAUAAAAUUUUAUAUUUAUUAUUUAAUAACUUAAAUUGACUUUAAGUUAAAUUAUAUUUAAGUUGAUUUAAAAUUUAUUAUUUAAUUUUUAUUUUAAGUAUUAAAGUUGUUUGAUAAAAUUAACUUAAAAUUGAUUCUAAAUCAUCAAAUGGACAUAUUUAUCUUCAUAAAUUAUAAUUAGGAUUAAGGUGAUUGUAAAAUAACAAAAGAGAUCAUUGAGAUAAUUAGGAUAAAAAAUGAUAAAAAGAUAAAAUGAAGAUAUUGAUUUAAGAAUAAGUUAAUUGUUUUUAUUUAUUCUUUAAAAUUGGUUUUGAGUUUUAAGUCAUAUUAUUAAGUUAUUUUAUCAAAUAUACUUAAUUUAUUUAAUAACCUAAAUUAAAUUAUUAAAUCAUUUUAAUUUAUUAAAUUGGUUUAUCAAACAUCCACUAAAUCUAAAAUGUGAUAUCAAAAUAAAACCCGAUGCACCGUUAUGUAUUACUAAUUAGGUACUAUAUAUCAUUCACAAAGGUCCAUUGAUAUAUAAUUUUAAUCUUGCUUUUAAUGGUAGGAAGGUAUGAUUAAUUUUAAAAUUUUAAAUAAAUGAAAGUAUUUUGCAUCCACAUGUAAGGAAAGUAGAUGUCAAGAGCAUAUUGUAAAAACAAGGUAUAAUUAUAAAAACCAUAGCCUUUUUAUUAUUAAUAUGAUUUUUUUUUAAAUAAAUUAAUAUUAGUAAAAGUAUAGUAGUGAUUUUUUUUUUUAUUUACCCAUGCUUUCUCAUACAAUUCCUUUUUCUUUAAAUUAAUCUAAAGGGAGCACACCAAAUCCCUUAUUAACUUUAUAUUUCAAAAAAAUAAUGUAAAUUUAAAUUAAAAUUUUUUUUAAAAAAAUAAAUAACCUGAGUGGAAGUGAAGUGGCAGUAUGGCACUGAAAUUGCAGGAGGGCACAUCCCAAAAUCUUCCUUCUCUAGAGAUGAGAGUCACCUGACACUGAAACAACCCAACAAAUAGAUAAAUUGAUUUUCUUUUUCUCUCCCUCUCUUUUCUUUACCUCAGUCACUGCUAUCAUGCCUCCAUGCCUGAGAUAAAGUGGCAGAUUGGCAGGUGAGAGAAAAAAGAAAGAAAAUUUUAAAAAGGCCUACACCAUCCAUAGACUAUGAAUAUCCCUAGCUUCCAUCCAUUUCUUUGUUUUAAAUUGACUUGAUAUAAUAAUUCAAACUUUUCAAAUUAUUAAAUUUUAAAUUUUCAGAAAAUUAUGAGAUUCUCAUUUAUUUAACCAACAUAUUAACUUUAUAAAUUAAUAUAUAUAUUUUAAAUAAUUAUUUUAAAAAUAAUUUUCAAAAAUUCUAUCAAACAUUUAAUGUGUAUAAAAAAACAUUUAUAAAUACUACGACAUAUUUCUAAUCUUUUUAAAGUUAUUCUCGAAUGAGAUAUUACAACCGCUUAGAAAAUAUCUAAGCCAAAAAUUAUUUUUUGUGAUAUGAUGCAUUAUUAGUGAUAUAAUCAAAAUACUUUUUAAAAUUUAUAUGUAAUUUUUUUUAUUUAUAAAAGCAGUACAAAUAAAAGACCCAGAAAAAGUUGAAAUAACUUGUGGGGAAGAUGAAGGGUGGCUUGAGGUAGACAAUUAGGUUGAAUAAAAAUAUAUAUAUAUAUAUAUAUAUAUAUGUAUGCUCCAAUGUAAUUUUCAACAUAUGCUUUAGUGCAAUGUCAUUUCUUUUCAUGGGUCCCUUCUCUUUUGGAAUUGUCUUAAAUGGAUAUAGAAAAAAAAUGAUCAACUUUUCCUUGAAGUGACCCUUUUCUAUGAAUGGGGUAUUUGUUUGUUUCAACUCAAAAUUUCAACAAAAAGCAAAGUAUAUUUGUUUUUGUUUUUGUUUUUUUUUCUCCAUCUUACUUAGGUUUUAUUUGAUCAUAUGGGAUAUUGAAAAUUUGAAAAUUUUCUUCUUAUUGCAUGUAAAUUCUCAUAUUUUUCUUCCCAAAAUCAGUGAAAUGGCUCUGAUUUCCUAUAGAGAAUUUGAGGGUUUUAUUUGAAAUAGGUAGUAGAUUGGGCCUUUGAAUCUUUCUCAGACAUGGUGAUUGUCUUGUUGAAAAAAAAGACACUCACUCAGUGCAUUGGAGCCAAAAAGCUCUCUCUCUCUCUCUCACUCACUAUUUCUUUUUUUUUUUUUAAAUAUCAUUUAUGCUGUAAUUAUUGCUUCAUUUCUUUCUAGAAGUGCUUUAAUGCUUGUGAAGUAAAGCCCUCUAUGUGCUUGUGUUUGUGUGAAAGGGAGAACCUAGUAUAGAAUGGUAUAAUACUUUUUGUGUAAGUGAUUUUUUGAAAAUAUUUUAAAUUUAAUUUUUUUUAUGGUAACUACCAUAAAAAGUGAUGAUUAAUUAAAAGUUGUGAAUGUCAUUUCUUUAUACUUUAAUUUAAUUAUUUUUUUCUUUGAAUUUAUUUAUGUUUAAUGGUUCAAAUUUAAUUAUGCCAAGUGUUAGGAUAGAAUUUUCCUCUAAAUUUUAGCUUUAGUCUCUGUGACAAAAGUUGUGGGUUGCUGUCACCAGGUUUAUUUUUUUAAGACAAAUUGUGAGGAAUAAAUGUGGGUUGUUGUUGAGGUCUACAUCACACUCUCUUUUCUGUGUAGCUCUCUUUCUUUUUGUUGCAGACCCAUUUCCUUCUUUCUUCUCUUCAAUCAUGGCAGGUUUGGUACUGCAUAGCUGUAAGAUAUCCAACAUUGAUUCUCACUUUUAAUAUUUUUUUCUUUGGUUAUUUUUCAUGUUUUCUUGUGUUUUGAUUUCCUCUGGUUGUUCUUUCUAUGGGAUUUUUGAUCAUGUACCUUCCCAAACUCCAAUCCCACAAAAGCUAAAGUAUAAAAUACUAGACUGCAUCAGCCUUGUUAUUUAGUUUUUCCUUUUUAUAUCUUCUAUGGCAGCCUUUUUCCUCUUUGCCCUUCACCUUCCUUUAACUAGGAGAUUAAGUGAGAUUAUGUGAGAUCUUGCCCACCUUUCUAAUGAUGACACCCAAAUGGUUUUGUUGGGUUUUGUUGGAUUCUGCCAUUCCGGGUUUGAAUUGGUUUUAAGUUAUUUUACCAAAUAUACUUAACAUGUUGAAUGAUAUCUGAAUGAGAUUAUAUAUGAUAGCACCCACCUUUCUAUGAUGACGAAUAUACUUAACAUGCAUAGUGUAUUAAGUCAUCUUAAGUCAUUAAGUUGAUUUACUAAAUGUGAGUAUAUGAGAUAUGUCGGCCUUUCUAUGAUGACACCCAAAUGGGUUGAGUAGUAGUGCAUACAACAAAAUAUACAAGAUCCUCCAAUUUAGGCUAAUGGAUUGAUUGGUGCUAGGAGAAGGCUCAAGGGGGUCAAGGAUCUAGGAGUCUCAAUGGUGUUUCAAAAGUGACCACUUUUAAAAGCAAGCAUAGGCCAGACUUGGCCUUGGCUGUCCAGACAGGAAGGGCCAUUCUUUUGAUUUCUUUUAAGCUUGCUUCUUCAGACAAGGUAUAGUAUCUAUUAAGUUAGGCAUCAAGAUGAUGCACACCAAAACAUAAAAGAGAGUGUACUACUGGUAUUAUCAUGUAACUGUCUUUUACAUUUUUCUAUUGUGUAUAAAGCUAAAUGGGGGUGAGCCACAAUUCUUUAAAUAAUGCUUGGAGAUAUGUGGGUGUCUUGUUCUUCCAUGGCAAGUAAGCCAUAGAGUACAGAGAAAAAAGAGACUAAAAAAUUGGUGUUCCUGCUUCUCAGGACCACAUCCAAAUGCCUUACAGCUUCUCCUAAGAGCAGGUGAGUUCAUAUUUCUAUGGUCAUAAACUCAUGCUUUAUCAAUUCAGUUCGGUCUCCCCAACAACACAAGUGUGAUUCCUUGUUGAGAACCCACCCAAAAGUCCCCCCAUCCCCAUUUUUCCCCUCAUGUCAUUGCCCUUUUAGGCCCUGCCUGUGAAUAGUUCAACCUCUCAAGGCACCAAUAUUCACAAUUCUGGUCUUGAGAUCCUGUUUUUCUGAUUCUACACCAGAUAACCGUCGAAUUUUCUGGCUUGUGCUCUAGCUUUUCUAGACUGCGAACUACAACCCAAAGAAAAGGGUCAGUUGUUUUCAUCAUCCUGUAGUUUUUCUCCAGAUGAAGAGCUCAUGACUUCAUUUCUGUGAAUGCAGAUCAAUUGAACUAGUUCAUUACAUUAGAUUUGACUUGUAGAUAUGCUGAAACAACCAAAGGUGUUCCAGUUGGGUUUCAUUGCAUUUGAUUCAAGUCUUUCUUCAGAGUAUAGGGAAUGGAUUUCUCUUGUGGUUAUAUGAUUUGCUUCUUCUCUAGUUUUUUCCUUCCCUUUCAGUAAUGUGGUUGUCCUAAACACUCAAUUUGAGCCUCUGACUGUUUCAGAAACAGACAGUAGUGUCAUUUUCAGGUGGUUUCCGAAAAAUGCUUUUCCAUUUCCCCCCUUUUCAGUUUCUGAAGCAUCUCCUAGGAGCUCACCAGUGUAUUCAGAGACAAAGUUUUGAGUGUUUCUUCCUUUUCAAUCUUGAGAUUUCGUGUACACUUUUUUCACAGUAUAGUCUGUCUUUUACUAGUUUCCAAGUCUCUGUAGGAGGCACUGUUAAGAAUGUGAUUCUUCAUGGAAAAAAUUAGCCUGUUUGAAUGGGAGGAAAGUGUCAAGGAAACAUAGGAUGAGCCUAGAAAUGGGAAUUUCAUCAUUGGUUGGAUCAUCUAUAAGCUUCCAAGGGGCAGCCCAAGGAACUCUUCAACAUGCCUUUCUUUCCUUAAACCCUAUACAAAUCCCAGAAUUUUCUUGGUUUUAUUGACUGGUUUUUGUCUUGGCAGGGCUGAUGGACCUACAACAACUAAUAGCUGCAGCAAUUUUCAGUUAGCUUAGCUCCAAGAACCUUACUGACUACUCACAGUACUCACCCCCCCCAGCUGUAUCUUCCCAGAAGGCAACCAUGAAUGAGUAUGAUUCUGAAAGAUCAAAGCCCUGGAACAUCUACACCAGCUCAAACCCGAGCCCGUCUCAGCCAGGAAUCGACAGGGAAGCUCCAUGGAAGAACUUUGGAACAUCCAUGAAUGCCAUUUCCUUUGGAUUCGUUGCUACCGCAAUCUUAAUUUCAAUGUUCCUUAUCAUGGCCAUCUUCGAACAUUUGUUCAGGCCCACAGCUUCAUUUUCCUCGCCUCAGGACAUGAACGGUGGGUCUUUGGAAUCAGGAUCGAUCCAUAAACUCAGAAGCCUAGAAGCAGUGAGUCAUCUACCUCCUGAAUUCAAUUCAUUUUGGCAUACCUGAGCUUCAUGUUAGUUCAUAUAGAAUAUGCUUUUCGUGCUGCAGUUUCUUUACUAUUGCCUCGUGUUCUAUGAAUUUGUGUUUUUUAUUCUCUAGCCCUGUUUUCUUAAGAUUUGAGAGAAUCAAUUUUCCCACUUCAUAUCUUCUCAAAAUAUUUUGAAUUUCCGCUUCGGUUAUCAUUUAAUUCAAAUUUUAGUUUAAAUUUAUAAUAAAAUUUAAAAAAAAAUUAUUCUAACUAAUAUAAAGAGAUAUUUUAUAUUUAAUGAAACUUUUAUGAUAUUAAUAUUAUUUUUUAAAUGCUAUUAUUUCGGCUUCAAGUUCAGCUAUCAACCAAUUAAAAGCUUUUUUCCAUGUGAAGUAGCCAAAUAUGCCUUUUAGCCCAAUUUUUCCCCACAAAAACAUGAUUAAAAUACUUUAUAUGGGGCUUGAGUUUGAUUACGCACUAAAUCACUUUAAAGUGCAAAAAAUUUGAAGCCUUUGUAAAAUUAGGGUUUAAGAUAAUUGCUUUGAAGAGAGUCUAUAAGAAGAAAAUACUUGGCUAAAUUUAUCUCCUUCAUUAUUCUUUAUAUGUUUGUUAAGCCAAACUAGUCUUAAUUGGAUGGGUUUUUUGUGACAGGUGUCGACAUCGUAUUCAUCGGAUUUUUCGGUAUUGAUGCCAGGGGAGAGGUACCCAACCCACAUUGCCCAACCAGCUCCCCUGCCAUGCCCAAGAGAAGGAGUGUAUUGGCCUCAACAUGAAAAUAAUUUUGUAUUUGCUUAGACUAUAUGAUACUUGAAUUUCAAGCAUAUCAAUGUGAAUGUAUCUAUUUUUCACAAAUGGGUCAAGCUUAUACUCACUCUUCUUGAGUGCUUGCCCCCUUUCAAUUUUACAAGAUAUUUUAUCCCAUCAUACCCAACUUUAAAUCUGAGCUUUUCAAGUGUGACUAAAUCAUAUCAUGAUAAACUUUUAAUCUGAGCCCUUGAUGUGUAUGACUAAAUUUGAAUCGGUAAACAAAGAUAUAAAUAAGUGGGAUAACAUAGGAUGAAAUAAAACUAUUGUUAAAAAAGAAAAAAGAAAAAAAGAAAACCAUUACCAUUUUUUAUUGAUUUCCAAAUAUUGCCCAAGAAAGGGUUGGUCCAAAUUUUCAUUCCAAACAAAUUCUUCAAUCAUGAGAUCUUUUUUUUAUUAUUAUUAUUAUAGUUAAAAGUGAAAAAAUAUUGAUAUUAUGAAAUGUUUAUUAAACAUAAAAUAAUUUUUUUUAAUUAACUUGAGUUUUAACAAAAAAAAAAAAAAAUCAAAAGGACUUAUUUGGGAAUUGUUUUAUAAAGAACCAUUUUUGUUUUCAAAAACAAAAUAAAGAUUGGGAAAUGAAUUCAAAAAACAGUUUUUGUUUUUAAAAACAAAAAUUAAAAAAUUAAAAAAUUAAAAAUACAUGUUUGAUUGAAUUAAUAAAAAAAAUAGUUUUAUAAAAAAAUAAUAAAUAAAAUUGUAUUUUCUUUUAACAAUAUAAUAUUGUAAAUAUAAAUAAUUUUUAGAUAAAAAAUUAUAUCCAUUUUUAGAAUAAUUUUCAUAAUUUUAAAUUUUAAAAAAUUGUAUCCAUUUUAAAAUAUAAAAUUUGUUUUUCCUCCUUUUUUUUUUUUUCUUUCUUUUUUGUUUUAAUCUUUUUGCACCAUACAUCCCUUACCCUCAAUUGUUUUUUUCCAAUAACACUUCUUUCUCCCCUCUCGUAGAUAUCUCUUCGACUCUCUCUCUCUCUCUUCUCAUCAACUCCAUUUCUCUAACUCUUCUCUCCCUCCCUCUUCUCAUCAACUCCAUUUCUCACUCCUCUCUUCCUCCCUCUUCUUAUCACCUCCAUUUCCCCACUCCUCUCUCUUCCCUCACUUUCCCACAUAUUUUCUCAUCUAAAAAUAGCCCAUAGUCAUACCCUCCUCCAUACAAACCUCCAUUGCCCCAUCUAUGUAGAGUCCAUGUUGCAACGUCGCUAUCAUCCUCCAUGAUCACCACCACCAAUUUAUUCUCUAAUUUGGAAAGAAGAAAAUACAUAUACAUAUAUAUAUAUAUAUAAGCGCCUGUUUUGAUAAAUGUUUUCAAAAGCAAUUCUAAAAAUAUAGUUUUUAACAACAAUUUUUUAAAAUUGUUUUAUAAUAUUUUUAACAGAAAAGAUAAUGCUCGACCACUAAGUGAUAAUGUCCAUCUGUUAAGUGAUAAUGUCCAUCUGUUGUAAACGUUUAUCAGUUAUAAUGUUUAUCUUUUUAAUUAAACUAGGAGUAGGAAUGUUUAUCCUUUUAGUUAAACUGGGAGUAGGACUCUUUAUGUAAAUAUCCACCUCUCUUCCUAUAUAAGUUGUACGUAUUUCACAUUCUGGAGAAUAAAAAAUUUUCAGCCUUUAUUCCACAACUUUUGUCAUGGUAUCAGAGCCAGAUACCUGAAGAAAAUAUACUCACACAAAGAUGAUAGAACCAUCUUCACCUCUUUACCUACAUCCAUCUGAUAAUCUAGGGGCAACCAUCACGACAUGUGUGUUCAAUGGUGAAAAUUAUGAUAUGUGAAAGAAGGUUGUUAGAAAUGCAUUGAGAGCGAAAAACAAGCUUGGGAUCAUUGAUGGGACAGUAAACAAACCAAAAGGAGAAAAUGGAAACGAAUUGAAUGCAUGGGAAGCAUGUAACCCGAUGAUUAUAUCAUGGAUGUUUAAUGUGAUCAACAAGAGUUUACAUUCAAGUGUAGCCUAUGCGCUGACUACAAAAGACAUGUGGGAGGAUCUCAAAGAAAGAUAUGUUGUUGGAAAUGCUCCGAGGGUUCAUCAACUCAAAAGUGAAAUCGUGAACUUGAAACAAGAAGGAAUGACAGUUGCUGCAUAUUAUGCCAAAAUAAAAGGCAUGUGGGAUGAAUUAAAUCAAUACAUCGAGAUACCUGAGUGCACUUGUGGAGCAGCUCAAGCAAUAAUGAAAAGUAGAGAAGAUGAGAAGGCACAUCAGUUUCUCAUGGGUCUAGAUGACACUACAUUCGGGACCGUGAGAUCGUCUAUCUUAGCCCUUGAUGCCUUACCUACAUUGGAAAAAUAUAUGCAAUGGUUACACAAGAAGAACGCCAUCAUAGCAUGGCCAGAGGAGCCGAUCGUGCUAAAAUAACAGCUUUUACAGCGUAGACAGAGAAAGCUGGAGGACAAACAAAUAAAAGUGGGAGUUGUACAUAUUGCGGAAAGACGAGACAUGAUGUUGCAGAUUGAUUUCAACUAAAAGGAUACCUCGACUGGUGGCCAACACGCCAAAUGGGACGAGGAAGGGGACAUGGACGUGGCCACAACAGUUAUGCUAGAAGAUGAGCAACUUUAGGACGCGUUCAUUAUGCAAAUGCAGUUGCUGAAGCAGAAACGCAAGAAAAAGGACAGUACGUUGGACAUGAUGUGGAAUGUAGUAUGAUCCCAGGACUGAAUGAUGACAACUUCCAAAAACUCAUAGCUCUACUCAGAAAUGGAAGCAGUAAUGCAGAAAAACUGAUCGAUAAGAAUAAAAUUGUGGAAGAAUGGAUAUUGGAUAGUGAUGCAUCCAUGCAUAUAACAGGAAGGAGAGAUUUGUUCGAUUAGCUACGUAAAGGGGAGACAACAUGUGUGGGACUGCCUGAUGGAACAAAAACCGUAGCAAAUGAAAUGGGAUAUGUGAAGCUCUUUAAAGAUUUAUGCUUAAAAGAUGUUCUAUAUGUCCUUACCUUGAAAUGCAAUUUAAUCUCUAUAGGCCAAUUAUUAAAAGAAAAAUAUUAUAUAAUCAUAUUUACUGAUUUGUUUUGUGUGAUACAUGACCGCACUUCGAGGAAUCCAAUUGGAGUGGGUGAGCUGAGGAAUGGAGUGUACUACUACAAGCCAUUACAAGAAGAGAAGGUGAAUGCAGUGAAAGUAGAAGAAAAGUACGAAUUGUGGCACAAGAGGUUAAGGCAUCCUUCAGAUCGUGUUUUAGCUUCCAUUCAUAGUUUAGGAAAUAAUGUGAUGAAAGGAAUUAAGGACUAUGUUUGUGAUUCAUGUUGUCGUGGAAAACAAGUACGAAAUUCUUUUCAGUCGAGUAAUAAAAGAGCAUCUGAAAUUUUUAAUCUUAUACAUGUAGAUAUAUGGGGUCCAUAUCAAACUCCCACUACUUCAGGGGCACAUUAUUUUCUUACCAUUGUAGAUGAUCAUAGUAGAGGGGUGUGGAUAUAUCUCAUGAAAGAAAAGAGCAAAACCAAAUAUAUUUUACAAAAUUUUUGUUUUAUGACCAAAACGCAAUUUGAUAAACCGAUUAAAUGCAUUAGAAGUGAUAAUGGAUUAGAAUUUUGCUCAGGACAAAUGAUGAGUUUCUAUAAGAAAAGGAAUAUUAAGGGAGAGUAGCCUAGUAAACACCCCACAACAAAAUGGGAGAGUGGAGAUAAAACACCAACACAUAUUAAAUAUUGCUAGGACAUUGCAAUUUCAAGCUUGUCUACCAAUAGAUUUUUGGGGAGAAUGUGUUUUAACGGCAGCAUACUUGAUAAAUCGAACCCCCACACCUAUAUUAGAUGGAAAGACGCCUUAUGAAAUAUUAUUUGGUGAGAAACCGAAUUAUGAGCACCUGAGAGUCUUUGGUAGUUUGUGUUAUGCCCAUAAAAAGUCACGUAGUAAUGAUAAGUUUGAUGCUAGAAGCCGGCGAUGCGUAUUUGCAGGUUAUCCCUAUGGAAAGAAAGGAUGGAAACUUCACGAUCUAGAAACCAAAGAACAGUUUGAGAGUAGGGAUGUAAUAUUUCAUGAAACAAUUUUUCCUUUUUGUCAAAGCAGUAAGGGAGAUAAGGAACAAAAAUUCCAUAACAAUGGGAACAUAGAAUCUUACAUUGAAGAUGAUGAUGUCAUAGUAAAGAAAACAUGUGAAAGAGAGAGUGAGAAAAAUAGUGAAAGGGAGAAAGGGGAAGAAAAUAUGGAGAUAGGAAAGGAUCAAAGCCAGGGGGAGAUGCUUGGUAGGGGACAUAGACAACACAAAGAACUGAGACAUCUCCAAGAUUAUAUAUGUUAUUCAGCUAGAAGCUUAAGUACACUUUGUUCCAAGGCAAGCUCAAUCCAAAAGGUGCCCUCAGGUGAGCCUUAUCCUAUUGCGAAUUGUGUGACUUAUACAAUAUUUUUUGUUGGCCAUCGAGCUUUUAUUGCAGCAAUAAAUAUUGAAAAGGAACCAAGAACUUACAAAGAAGCGGUUACAGACAACAGAUGGAGAGAAGCCAUGGCAAAGGAAAUUGAAACAUUGGAGACUAAUCAAACAUGGAAAGUAGUUGACCUACCGCCAGAAAAGAAAGCAAUAGGAUGCAAGUGGAUAUACAAAAUAAAAUACAACGCAGAUGGAUCAAUCGAGCAAUACAAAGCAAGGUUAGUGGUGCAAGGAUUUACACAGAUUGAAGGAAUAGACUAUCAAGAGACGUUUGCUCCAGUGGCAAAAAUGACAAGUGUAAGGUGCUUUCUAGCUGUAGUAGUGGCGAAAAGAUGGGAAUUACACCAAAUGGACGUAAACAACGCAUUUCUACACGGAGACCUUGAAGAAAAAGUGUAUAUGAAGCUGCCAGAAGGGUUCAAGGCCACUAGAAAGAACAAAGUUUGCAAGUUACAAAAAUCGUUGUAUGGAUUGAAAUAGGCAUCGAGACAAUGGUUUGUGAAACUCACAACAGCUUUGAAAGAAUAUGGUUUUCAACAAUCAUUGGCUGAUUAUUCACUCUUUACUUAUUGACGUGGAAACAUAGUGAUGAACCUAUUGGUAUAUGUGGAUGAUUUAAUAUUGGUUGGGAAUGACAACAAAGUAUGCGAAGCUUUCAAAAACUUUCUUGACAGAAAAUUUGGAAUCAAGAAUCUGGGACAAUUGAAAUACAUUCUUGGAAUCGAGGUGGCAAUAGGCAAGGAUGGAUUAUUUUUAUCACAACAAAAAUAUGCUUUAAACAUUAUAGAGGAAUGUGGGCUGUUAGGAGCGAGACCAGUGGAAUUUCCAAUGGAAGAAAACCACAAACUAGCACUUGCUAAUGGGAGAUUGCUAAAAGACCCAGGAAUGUACAGGCGACUUGUAGGACGAUUGAUAUACUUGACUGUAACAAGGCCAGACCUGACGUAUGUUGUUCAUGUUUUGUCACAAUUCAUGCAAAGUCCACGGGAAGAACACCUAGAUGCAGCUUAUAGAGUCGUUCGAUAUCUGAAGAAAUGACCAGGUCAAGGAAUAGUUAUGAAAGUAGAAAAUGACCUUCAGCUUUAUUGUUAUUCAGAUUCGGACUAGGUAAGUUGUCCAUUAACAAGACGAUCAAUUAGCGGAUGUUGCGUUAAACUUAGGACAUCACCAAUUUUGUGGAGGUGCAAAAAGCAAGGAACUAUAUCAAGAUCUUCAACAGAAGCAGAGUACCGUUCCAUGGCAAUGGCAGCAAGCGAGUUAACGUAGCUAAAAUCACUUCUUGCAUCAUUAGGAGUGCUUCAUGAUAAGCCAAUGAAAUUAUACUGUGAUAAUAAGACUGCUUUACACAUUGCAGCAAAUCUCGUAUUCCAUGAGAGGACCAAACACAUCGAAAUAGACUGUCAUUUUGUUCGAGAGAAGGUGCAAUCAGGUGAGAUAGUGACAACAUAUCUUCCUUCAAAGCUACAAGUAGCAAACCUGUUCACCAAAGCACUUGGAAGACAACAAUUCCUUUUCUUAUCAAGCAAGUUGGGCAUUCGAGAUCUUCAUGCACCAACUUGAGGGGAAGUAACAAAAAAGAUAAUGCUCAGCCACUAAGUGAUAAUGUUCAUCUGUUGUAAACGUUUAUCAGUUAUAAUGUUUAUCUUUUUAGUUAAACUAGAAGUAGGAAUGUUUAUCCUUUUAGUUAAACUGGAAGUAGGACUCUUUAUGUAAAUAUCCACCUCUCUUCCUAUAUAAGUUGUACGUGUUUCACAUUCUGGAGAAUAAAAAAUUUUCAACCUUUAUUCCACAACUUUUGUCAAUUUUGUAGAACAAAAGUUUAUUUAGAUACCUAAAAGAUUUCUAACCCAUUUUUAAUAUUUUUAAAUAUAUUCUAAAAAUAAUUUUGUCUAAUGUUUUACUUUUAAUCAUUCUAUAUACUUAUAUAAUUAUUUUUUUAAACAACCUCAUAAAACAAAUAAAAACAACUAAAAAAUAUUCUUUAAAAACACCUUGUUUCCUAUUCUUAAAAAUAUAAAACAGUUUUUAAUAAUCAAACGUGUUUUCCUAUUUUAUCAUUUUGAAAAACAAAAAACUGUUACCAUUUUCCGUAUAGUCGAACAAGGAUGGUGAGCUUAAAUGAAUUCAGGGUUUAGUUCAAUUUUUUUGUAUUAUGCAAGGCUUAAAGGUUUGAGGAUUUGUUGUCGGUGUGUGUUUGGAUGUGCGUUUUUCUUUUUCAAAAUUAUUCCAUCUUUUUUUCUAGUGGAUUUUUUGUUUAGUUAACAAUACCAAAAAACACAGGAAACAAACAACUUCAUUGGGUUUUCCCAAAAAACCAAUGUGAAAACACGAAAAUAAGGAGAACAUUCCAAGGACACGCCAAACUUUUUUUCAAAGUUCCUUUUUUAGGAAACUCGCUUAGUACGAAUGAGACAGACUUGGUUCAACUUUUAGUUUCUUUUAUCCCUUUACUAAUAAAAAUUGAAUCCAAUCAAACCAGCCUUAAAACCUUUUCACAACAUUAAUGGAUAGUAAACAUCCUUGAGCUUCAUAACUACGCCUAAAGGCCUCUCCUGUAGGGUUGGUUGUCCUAAAAGAAUAAAAGGUUCAAACAAACAAACAAAAUCAUGCCCCAGAUGAUGGUAAGUACAAGCCAAGUUUCCUAAAACCCUAAAAUUUUGUUUUCAGAGAUCUGGGAAUUUUGUGCUAUUGCAUAAUCCAGAGUUCCCAGGAAAAAAAAUGAGCAGGCUUUCCUAUCAAUCUUAUUAGUAAUGAACCCAAAACAACACUGUGAUCAUGGACCAAUUUACAUACCUGUUGGGUUGGAUAGAGGUAGGACUGCUGGAUACAACGAAUCGUAGUUUCGGGGAGUCCAGGGAUUACUGCAAUUGUGUAAACCGGGGAGAAAUGCAGAAAGGUGUAAAAAUACCUUGUAACCCAAUCACAGGCAGCAGUGCGAAGAAUCUACAAUGGAAACACAAGGUUACAAACACAACCACCAACACUGAUGAAGGACAAUGAAAACUGUUGACACAACCAACAGAACAAAUUCCGACUCGCUUCCAAGCUCUCUCCCUCAUCUUCCCCACCUUGUAAGCUCCUCCUUCACCCGUAUGUUGCUUUCAGUUUCGAUGCUUGUCACCCAUGCCUCAAUGUAAAACUCAUUUGCCGUUUAAAAGGGAAGAUAGUACACUCUGCUAGGGUUCCUCGGGUGCUUCUUCAUCAGAUAAGAGUACAGUUAGUAAAGAAAAUUUAACCUUGAGUGAGAUCCUGCCCUUUUCGAGCAUAAGUCUUGCUCCAGAAACAACCCAGUAGCCAGGAGUUUCCUGUGGUCCUCUUGUCAUCUCUGUUGCAUCGACAAACUUCAGAAGCCUCGGUGCUUGGACAGGCACUGGUGGGCCCCCUGGGUAGACGGCAGAGUUUAUGUUCACAUCAGCAGGCCGUGGAGGCGGCUUUUGAACUGUUGUGAAGGGAUGGCUGAUUAGAGUGGAUAUGAGUCCAGACUUCUGAGCCAAGCCCGGUGAUCCAUCCCACUCUGGAGCCUUUACCAGCAUGGCUCCUGAAACAGUUGAGAAGCGGAGUCGUAGGAAGAGGACCUUUUUAAAGCCGUAACCCCCAACUUGUAGUUGGGCUCCAGUUACUAUAGAAAAGUCAUCGUCAGCCUGAACAGGAGCAGUGCAUACAUGUGAAAAGUUCUUCCAUUGAACUUUCUCGUAGUACUUGUGGUCGUAGGUCUCAUGACGGAAGUUGGCACUAGGAUCAUCUUCGAGUUGGAAGAUUUUUGGGAGGGAAGAGAGGUGCUGCAAGUGGAUCGCUAAUCGGUUGCUUCUUUUACCUUCUAGAUAGAGCCUGAGGCCUGUCACUGGCCGCUUACCCACAUCAACCUGUAAAGGGAUUGAUCAACUGAUUAAACAAAGUCUCAGUUUUUUAGGGCCGUAAUUGGUACUCGGAAAUCCCAAUUUCUCAAAUUUGGAACAACAUGGGUAACAUGAGUUUUCUGUAACAAUCUCCUGAAACUAAUUCUCCAGAAACCCAGAAGAACGACUUUUCUCGAUGGCAUGGCUGCUCAGUCUCAAUAUAUGCAACUUAUUUGUUAAGGUCAAAUUGUAAAGUCAGGUAGGCCAUAUUUUAGUCUAGCUCAAGGAUGCAAAAUCUGAAUCAAUGGAUAAAGAAGAAGCACACUUCUGAGCCCAAACACUAGGGAAUAAAAUAGCAGGAUUAAUCUCUUUUUGAUAAGAAUAGGACAAGAAUAUCUGAAAAAAGAAGGUUUACCGGAUUGGUAUUCACAUAAAGCUUGGGACCCAUGAAGCUGAACUGCAAAAAUGCACUGUUUUGUUGCCUCCUUUGUGGACCAAGAGGAAGUUCACUGAACACUGGUGCCCACUGCCUUGGCAGUUGAAAUUCCAAAAACUGGCGUAGUUCUUCAAUGGGUGGUUUAUCUGCAAGGACAAUGAAAAUGUUACAGAUGGUUAGUUCAAAUGAUUUUGACCGAUUCAGCAGCAAUAAGCAAAAGAAUGUGAACGCUGCCUUUUUCUACACUUAUAUUGUGAAAUUGCACCAAAGCCAACAAAAUCUCAUGUUUUGAAGCCAAAGGAACCACUCCAAAAUUUUAACCACGCAUAGUUCCUCAUAUUCUAACUAUAACAUCACGACUUGAAAGAUUCAAUCUCGAGCAAAAGUUGCCUCCUCCCCUUCUGCUGUUAAGCUUGGCAGAGAAUAGAGGAACUUGAGUGACUUGGAAGGUGAUAACUAUAAUGUGAUUAUUGGAGAGAAAAAUGAGUACGAGGUCACUCAUAAUAUUCCAAUGUGAUCAAAGGUGCAAAUGAUAAAAGCAAGAAUUAAAAGACUGGAGAUUUGGUCUUUUAAAUGGAACUGUUUGCAGUGGGCUACAUGCCCCUUAAGAUUCCUCAGCUUUUGGGUGUCUAGUUUUUCAUUUUUUUUUCUUCUUCAACAAAGUUUUUGGAUUUUUAGUUUUUCAUAAAAUCAAUAUAAUUCGUUCUUCUAGUGUUAUUUAUUUUUUCUCUUGUUAUGAAUGAUCCUUCCCUUUCAAACCAGAACUUCAUAUCUGAACUUUGGUUAUUAAAGGAACCGAAAAAAGGUGGUUGCAUACACACUAGUGACCCUAUGUCUAUAAAUAGCAUGUCUUAGAUCUUGUUCUAUGUCAUUUAAAAGAGCUGUAUUUCCAUAACUCCAUAUCCUAAAAUACGCUUCACAUGUCUUAUAUCUUGUUCUAAGCAUUUACCUACAUUCAUAACAUAACCCUAUUUUAUUUUGCCCAAUGGAAAUCAGAUUGCAUAAGACCUCUUGCAUGCAUACAGCCAGUUCACCCACCCUUUUUGCCAGAUCUAAUAUUAUUGAGGUGCCACUAGUCAAACUAUAGAAAAAAAAUUUACUCAAAGAACGAUAUGGAUGAAUAGAUACUUUUAUUUAUAUAAUAUGAUAAUAGACAAAAUCCAACAAAUAAACCAACCAACCAAAGGAUAUUGCUCACAUCGUAAAUAGAGAUUUAUGGCAUGGCUCAAGAAUCCACUCCCUUGGACUCCAUUCAACAAAGAGGUAAUUGGGAUAAAGGACAUUGAUAUCACAUCAGGUGCAGACUGAACAGUUUGCAACCACUCAUUAUGGGAUAGGUUCUUGUUAUCGCUUCCACCUCUCCUUUUGCAAAUGCUCACAAUAUCCUGCAUUUAAAUUAAUUAAAUGACAAAAUGAAAAUUUUUAAUAAAAGGUAAUAUCAAUUCUAGAUUUCCUAAAACACGUUUCCAGAGGACUUCAAGAAAAUGAUAUGAUAACACAUACAUCCUUAUGUGAAUAAGAACUUGACGGACUGGUAUCUGCAAACCUCAGCCGCUGCUCCCUGAUUUCAAACUGAAAUAAAAAUGAUUAGAUAAGAUACAGCUAGGUUUCUUUCCAGGUGGCUCACAAUUGGCAGAUGAAACAAAAAGACCUUCCCUUACCAACUUUAAACAACAAACCAUGACUGCGAAGUCCACUACUGUAGUAAUUCUAAACCAAGGAAAAAUAUGUAGACAAUAUCUGGACCAAAGAAACACUUUAUUUUGAAGUUUGUACACAUGAAAAGAUCAUAUCAUAUGAAGUCCUUAAUCCUUCACAAAAAGUAAGUAUAAGACUGAUCACCUCUAUGAAGUUGAUUAAAAUAGAAAAAGUAGGUAAUGACUACUUUGGCAACUUACUUGAGCUGAACAACCAGAAAUCAACACCAUAGACAUGUAGUCAUAAAAUGAUGAUCAAUUAUGUCAUUACUUGCAGGCAGGCUGGGCAAUAACAAUGCAAUCCCAAUUAAACAUUAGUUAAAAAUCUAAAAAAGUUGCCUAGUUAAGAGGCAGCAUGCGUUGUUAGGAUAUCAAAUUUUCAUGUUUUGCAGUAAUUCAAAUUAACAUAAUGAAUAUGAGGGGGAAAAAUUUUGAUCAGAGCUGUGAACUCAAAUUAUGCAUAGUCUAAACACCCCGCUUAUUAGGGAGUAAAAGCAUAGUGAAAUUUAGAAAAUCACUUCUGUUGAAUAUAAUGUAUUUAUAGUAUAUUAUCUUUCCUUGUUAAUAUAGGUCACAUGUAUGGUAGUUAGGACUCCUAGCCUUGUAUAUAUAUCUCUCAAUUGUAAGUUGAGAUUAAAUGAAUGAGAAUUAAGGUUUUUCUUCUUUCUCUCUCUCUCAACAUGGUAUCAGAGCUAGGGAAGAAAACCUAAUUCUUUCCUGUUUCCCGUGUCAUCAACUCCGGGAAACCUUCCGGUGACCGUGUUUCAUUCCGGUCACCUUCCCCAUCUCCCAAUACUUUCCGGUCAGUCGGAACGUCGUUAGAAACCACUCACCGCCGGCGAAAUUUUCCGGCGACCUAUUUUUUCGACACCGACCAUACCAAAAGGAGCGCCUGGAGGAGAUCUCCAACUUUUGUGAAGCCACCAGCACCAAAAGAGCAUCCACGCGCCGGCCACGCGCCAUUUUCCAGUCGGCGGCUGCAUCUCACGCGCCGGCGCGUGAGGGCGCGUGAGGAAUUUUCCGGCGACGCGCCUCCUCCUCCAGCUUCGCCUGACGCCGACCAGCCUCCCUACCUCCUUGGUUUUCCCAUCCGAGCCCUGCACGUACCUCUUUUGGGGAUUUUUGUCUCCGUCGGCCCUCCAAACAGUCUUUCCGGCGAAGCUCCGGCUACUUUUUCUCCAUCCCAAUCCCUGCACGGGCCUUGGGAAGUGUUCGUCUACCUUUCUGGUGGUACCACGCUGCGAUCUGAGGCCGUCUCCCUUUGUCGGUGGUGCCACGCCGCAAUCUGAAGCCGUAUUAGGGCUCUCUUCGAUCCAAACAUACUUCAUUCUCCAGAUAAGUGGAUAUGGCCCAGUCCUCUGAUUCUCCGCUGCCUCAGCCUCCGAGCUCCUCUGCAUCUCAGGCUUCUAUUGCCUCUGUUGCCCAGCCUGGUAAUGCCUCUGCCUGCCUUACCCACACAUCUUCUCUUGGACCCUGGAUUCUAGAUUCUGGAGCUUCUGAUCACCUAUCUGGUAAUAAGGAUCUUUUCUCCUCUAUUACUACUACCUCUGCUUUACCUACUGUUACCUUAGCUAAUGGUUCUCAAACUGUGGCUAAAGGUAUUGGUUUGGCCCUUCCUCUGCCUUCUCUACCUCUCACUUCUGUCCUUUAUACUCCUGAAUGUCCUUUUAAUCUUAUCUCCAUCAGCAAACUCACUCGUACUCUUAAUUGCUCUAUUACCUUUUCUGAUAAAUUUGUGACCUUGCAGGACCGGAGUACGGGGAAGACGAUUGGCAUAGGACGUGAGUCUCAAGGCCUCUAUCACCUCACCUCGGAUUCAUCUGCUGCAGUUUGCAUUUCCACUGAUGCCCCUCUCCUCAUUCACAAUCGUCUGGGUCAUCCUAGUCUCUCCAAGUUCCAAAAGAUGGUCCCUCGUUUUUCCACUUUGUCGUCGCUUCCGUGUGAGUCAUGUCAGCUUGGGAAACAUACUAGUGUCUCGUUCCCAAAGCAUUUGAAUAAUCGGGCAAAGUCUCCUUUUGAGCUUGUCCACACUGAUGUUUGGGGUCCUUGUCGGACUGCGUCUACUUUAGGAUUUCAGUAUUUUGUCACUUUCAUUGAUGACUAUUCUCGAUGUACUUGGUUAUUUUUAAUGAAAAAUCGAGCUGAGUUAUUCUCUAUUUUCCAGAAAUUUUAUGCUGAAAUCCAAACCCAAUUCAAUAUUUCUAUUCGUGUGUUACGCAGUGACAAUGCCAGAGAAUAUUUUUCAGCCCCAUUUACUUCGUUUAUGUCUCAUCAUGGGAUUCUUCAUCAGUCUUCUUGUGCUCAUACUCCUCAACAAAAUGGGGUAGCUGAACGCAAGAAUCGACAUCUUGUUGAGACAGCUCGUACUAUCCUCCUCCAUAGUAAUGUUCCUUUUCGUUUUUGGGGGGACGCUGUUCUUACCGCUUGUUAUUUGAUUAAUCGUAUGCCCUCCUCUGUUUUACACGAUCAGAUUCCUCACUCCCUUCUUUCCCUGACCAACCACUUUAUUUCCUUCCUCUUCGUGUCUUUGGUUGUACUUGUUUUGUUCAUAUUCUCACUCCUGGACAGGACAAGCUUUCCGCCAAAGCCAUGAAGUGCCUCUUCUUGGGAUAUUCCAAACUUCAGAAGGGUUAUCGUUGUUAUUCCCUUGAGACUCAUCGAUACUUUAUCUCCGCUGAUGUCACCUUCUUUGAGGACUCACCAUUCUUUUCCGCCAAAGCCAUGAAGUCUUGCCCAUUCCCAUUGUCUCCCCACCUGAUGCUAUGCCUCCUCGACCACUUCAGGUUUAUCAUCGUCGCCCUCCUGUCGUUGCUCCUCUCCCUUUUGCUGAGGCACCUGCUCACUCACUUCCUAUCCCUUCGGCUUCACCUGCCCCGGCUCUGCCUUCUCCUAAUGACUUACCCAUUGCUGCUCGGAAAGGUACUCGCUCUACUCGUAAUCCUCAUCCUAUUUACAAUUUUUUGAGUUAUCAUCGAUUAUCUUCACCCUAUUCUGCUUUUGUUUCUGCUAUAUCCUCUGUUUCUCUUCCAAAGAGCACCCAUGAAGCUCUUUCCCAUCCAGGCUGGCGACAGGCAAUGGUGGAUGAAAUGGUUGCUCUGCACUCUAAUGGCACUUGGGAUCUUGUUGUUUUACCCUUUGGUAAAUCUACAGUUGGUUGUCGUUGGGUCUAUGCAGUUAAGGUUGGUCCUGAUGGUCAGGUUGAUCGCCUUAAGGCCCGCUUAGUUGCUAAAGACUAUACUCAGGGUUUAUGGUUCUGAUUAUGGUGACACAUUCUCCCCUGUUGCCAAGAUUGCUUCUGUCCGCUUGCUUCUCUCCAUGGCUGCUAUGUGUUCUUGGCCNNNNNNNNNNNNNNNNGCUCACCCACAGAUAGACGUUCCACUUCAGGGUACUGUGUUUUUAUUGGAGGUAAUCUAAUAUCUUGGAAGAGUAAGAAACAAGAUGUAGUGGCCAGAUCUAGCGCUGAAACCGAGUAUCGAGCUAUGGCUUUGGCAACAUGUGAACUCAUAUGGUUGAGACAUCUUCUUCGGGAGUUGAGAUUUGGAAAUGAUGAACAGAUGAAACUCAUCUGUGAUAACCAGGCCGCAUUACAUAUUGCAUCCAAUCCAGUCUUUCAUGAAAGGACCAAGCAUAUUGAAGUUGACUGUCAUUUCAUUAGAGAGAAGAUCGCAUCAGGAUGUGUUGCUACAAGUUUUGUUAAUUCAAAUGAUCAACUAGCAGACAUCUUCACUAAAUCUCUCAGAGGUCCUAGGAUUAAAUAUAUUUGUAACAAGCUUGGUGCAUAUGACGUAUAUGCUCCAGCUUGAGGGGGAGUGUUGAAUAUAAUGUAUUUAUAGUAUAUUAUCUUUCCUUGUUAAUAUAGGUCACAUGUAUGGUAGUUAGGACUCCUAGCCUUGUAUAUAUAUCUCUCAAUUGUAAGUUGAGAUUAAAUGAAUGAGAAUUAAGGUUUUUCUUCUUUCUCUCUCUCUCAACAACUUCUAUUAUUCAAACAUCACUUGUAAUCCUUUAUCAUAGUGGGAAGACCUUCAAUUUAUUUAUUUAUUAUUUUUUUUAUAAGCAAAUAUAUUAAAAGAACGUCAAGAAAGGGGGGGGGGCGCCCUAUGUAUGCAGGAAGUAUACUCGAAAAAACAAUGAAAAACCAAUCAAUGAAAAACCAACAGGUAACAGAAAAAACAACCAAAAAAACCACAGCUACCUGACAGCUAAGACUAUUUAACAAAUCAAGCAUUGACAAAAUUCCCAAAUCUAGCAAAGCGUUUAUCUAUUCCAAGAGGGCUCUAAUGAAGUUCUCCUUUAACCUCUGAUCUGACAGCUCUUCACCAUUAAAGAUUUGGCAGUUAUGCUCUAUCCAAAUGCACCAGAACAAACAUUUUAGAGCCAUCUCAUGACCAAAGAAGCUUUCCCCUUUUGGAAACAAAUUUGAUACAUAGCUUUCCUUCUCUUAUGAAUAUAAUGAAUGAAAGGCCUAGAAGUGAUGGGAAAAGUGAUAAUAAUCAGCAAGUCUCCAACACCUGAAAGACAGGCUACUGCCACUCAUACCCAGCAAACCAGCCUCAUCAAAGUGAAAAAACAUCUUCAGUUCAAUUCAGUGAACAUGGCCCCCCAAACCAGGGUCUAAGAAACUCUUGGAACCAACUAGUCAUCUCUUCUCAAAGCUAGCAGUUGGGUUAAAAACAUCACACAACAAAAAAUGAAACAACUCUUCUUUCUAGAGCCUCAUUCUCCCGUUUCCGACUUUAAAGCCCCAUUAGAUUUUUACAAUUCUUUUGUUUUUUUUGUUUUCUGUUGGAUGUGGGUUGUGGGGUAGAACAGGUGGAGAGGGAGGGGGCUUGGUUUAUAUAAGUCAGCUCACAGGUUAUUCUGGAAGUGAUUCUCCCAUGUCUUCUGGAUUAUAACUUUUGACCAAUCUUAAACUCAGAAAGAACCUUUCUAAUAUAAGAACAAUUGCUUAAGUCCACAAAACACAAGCAUCAGAUAUAUCAUCAACUCAUAUGCUUAAAAUUCCAUUGUAGGUUUACAUAGUCUAGCACAGAAGAAAAUUUCACAAACCUUGUCAUCCUGAUAAACAUGUCCAGAAUUCAUGCCAUAUUGACCACUUGCAUCUACAAACCUCUUAUCUGCCAUCUCCUUUACCCUUUUCUGUACAUCAGCAGGUUGAAGAGGUGAAGCAUGCUGCUGUCUAACAUAUAUUACAUCCUUCCCGCCCAUCUUCACACCAACUAUAAUAUGGGUGCCAAAUGUUUCAAUAAACCUGGAAUUACAGAGAAAAUCAUCUCAAAAAUUCAUUAUGGUUCUCAAGCUUGAGCAUGGUAUACCAACACCAAACAUAGGUGAAAGAAGAAAGAGAUAAUAUCCUAGAAUGCAUAAUUUGACCCCUCCCUCAUUCUAUUCAUUAUCAAUAAUGCUCAGGGUACUACAGAGAUAAGGUUUAUGAGUUAACAUACAGGCCCCAUUGGACUUUGGAUAGAUGGUGCUGAGAAAGUAGAAUACCUAAGAUUGUGCCUUUCUUGUCAAGAUAAGUUUAAAAUGGAAUUUUUCUUGUGGAAUUCAUAUAUAUAUAUAUAUAUAUAUAUAUUCUAAUGUGGAAAUUCACACCUUUCAAGGGGUUUGGCAUUCGAUUCUACUAGAUAAAAAUAAAUUAAUUAAUUAAAAAAAACCCUAGAAAUUAUGCUGACAAUAUGUGCCAAAUUCACAUGUCUUGAGAGUCUUAUCGGAUGCAUUAACUAUCAAAACUAGAUAACAAGUAUUAUAGAAGACUUGAUUGCCGUAUUAAAUAAAGCAAAACAAAUAAAUAAUAAGAAGCUAAAAACAAGAAACCUCCUUGAGACCAAGGAAUUAUUAUAUACAUAACUAGAAUCCUAACAAAAAUAGAAGCUUUUGAAACUUAGCUUUGCACAUAAAAUGUCCAGACUUUUAUCAUGCCAUAGAAAAUACUCUUUUUUUUGGGAGAUUCAAGCUCUACCUUGCCAAGGCAGCAGGAUCCCAUGAUGAUGGAACAGCGUUCUUAACAUGUUCACGAAGUACCAUCUGUGAUUUCUCUAGUGCAACAGUGUAGAGUGUGAUGAAUACCCCAUCAAAAGCAAGAGUUUUUGUCUUAGCUGCAUCUUUCUGCCAACAGCCUGAAAAUUCAAACAUAGCAUUGAAGAGGCCUGAUGGAAUUUUACCAGUCAAGGAUAUCUCCUGGUUGAAUUGCUCUGACAUCUGGAGCAAAGUAAAGAAAUAUCAAUGCACCCGAAAUCAAUGAAAGAGGAAUUUAAUAUGCUACAGCAUCAACAUUGUCCUAGAAUUAACUGUAAAACAAAAAAAGACUGGCACGAUAGCUUAAGCAGUAUGCAAUCUGACCUCAUUGGAGAUCCAGUGCUAGAAAUACUAUAUCAGUUAAUUACUCAUUAUACUAAAAGUGAUCAAUGAUAGUGCAAUCAUACUCAAAGUAAUCAAUGAUGGUACAGUACCACAUAUAGAGAGACACAGAAAAUAAGUAUUUGUCAUGAGAGAUGAUGCUGGUUAUAAUGAAGUUUUUUUGGGUGACAAUUAUUCCAAUUCAAACCUUCUAAACAUGAGAGAAUAUGAUAAAGCUGUACCUAUUCAUUAAACAGUUAAAUCCUAACUCACUGAGUUUGGGUCCUCUCCAGCAAAUUUUGCAACCGAGACAUGGCAACAACAAAAUAAAAGUAAAAACCCUUCAUCUGAUGAGUCCUAUUUACAACCAGUUGUUCACAAAAUAGGCUGAUAGGAUGAUAUUUAACUAUUGGAAUCAACAUUUGUUUCAAAAACAUUUUCAAACAUGAAUAGCAGUAUGAAAGGAGAGCAGACAAGUCACAAAACCAUUGAUAUAAGAUAGCAACAGAACCAUAAUUUAUGCGACACAAUCAACCCAAAUAAGAGACAAUCAUGAGAAAAAAAACUGCAUAUUAAUACCUGUUGGAAAGAAAGAACAUCAGACCGAAACCGGGUUCGUUCCCCUUUAUCACACUUUAUUGAUUUGGAUGCAUUUGGAAUCGAAAUCCCACCAGGCAACACAAUUUCACGAACUGACUCCUCAUCAAUCUCAAUCAACCGCGAAUCAACCAAAUCUCCCUUACAAUACUUGAGCCGCAAAUCAUCCGAAAUAUCAUACCCCCGUCCAAUUGACCCAAUUGCAAUUUCAGCAGCUUUCUCAGCUGAAACCUUAACUGCCAUUACUCUAGCAUCACUCUGCACCCACUAAAAAAUAUGCAAAUUUUAAAUCAAGAUUACCCCUAAUUGACACACAAACACAUUGCAGUGAAUGAAAGUGCCAAAACAGCAUAAUUCCUCAAUAAUAUUCUCUUCACCUGUUCAUAACAAUUAAACUGAAACUACAGUAGAUAUGAUACAAUUGGAGGGUGACUAGAGAAGAUAUAGAAUAAAGGUGAUAUGGAGAGAGAAUUUUAGAGAGAGAAAGAGGAGCUCAGAACCACACCAAAUCCAAAUGCUAUGCUCCCUCAAAAUAUCCAUAUUCACAUUAAAAUCACCCCAAUUUCACAAAUUUUUCAUGCAUCAUACUGAAUCAAAAUUCUAAAGCAGCAAAAAAUCAUGAAAAGUAUUAUCUUCAUCCCGUCAUGAAAAUCAAGCUGAAAUGACAGCAAAAUUGAUGCAAAUACAAGCUAAAACCCUCAGAGGAGAAAUGAAAGUAGAGAAACAAAUUUCACUUCACACUUUUUUUGUGGACUAAAUUAGAGCUCUGAACAUCACAAGAAGAAUACUAGGUUCAUCAGUUAAUGACAAUUGAUUUGCAAUCACAGUGGAAUUGAUAAAAAUUUAGACUGAAAUCUAGGUGGAUUCACAAAUGUUGAGACCCAAUUGACCCCUUUUUCAUGGACCAAAUCAAAGAAUCAAACCACCAAAACAUCACAAUCAUAAAUAGAUCACUUAAUAAACAGUAAGAUGAAAUUGGAGAAAUAAAUGUUGAGAAUGAGAUUAACCCAACUUCACACAUUUUUCAUAAAAACAAAGCUCCGAAACAUCACAAAUCAUGAACAGUGUUAUCUUCAUAGUUUCAAGCCAAAACCCCAGAAAUGAAUCUCGAGGAUCAAAUUACCAAAAGGUCACACAUUUUCACGUCAUUAAGAUUAAGCUGAAAUUACCUAAAAAUAACACAUUUUCACAUCAUAAAUUGAAGUGAAAUUCCAAUUAAACUGAUAGAACUUCAAGCCAAAACUUAGGUGGAGAAAUGAAUUUUGAGUAUCAGAUUACCAUAAUUUUAAAAAUUCUCGGCAACCGAACUACAGUGGAAUUCUAGUUCAUCAAUUCAUGAACAAACUAAAACUAAAGAAAAAUCAAGCCAAAAUCAACAUUGAGCAUCAAAUUAUCCCAAUUUCACACAUGUUUUUCAUCAAAUCUCUAAAACACCACAACAACAACAUCACCUCCACCAUUCAUACAACAUUAAGCAAAUCCAAGACAAAUCCCGAGAAGCUAAGGUUCACAACCAAAUUAGCCCAAUUUCACACAUUUCUCACAGCCAGAACCAAAACCUUCAAAACAUAACACCAUCCCAUCACUUCAACAACAUUAAGCUCAAAUCACAGAAAUCAAUGCCGAUAAUUAAAUUACCCCAAUUUCAAGCAUACUCCAUCAAAUCUCCAGAACAUCACCACCACCACCAAAACAACAUCAAGAACAUCAUCUCCACCACUUCCAGCACAUUAAGCUGAAAUUACAGUAAAAUUAGAGCAAAAUGGAGAAACAUCGGCAGAGAAUGGGAGCGCGAGUGGGGAAGAGGACUGGAGAAUGAGAGCGAGAGAUUUUAGAGAGAGAGAGAAAGAAACCCUAGGAGGCGGAGACCACGAGAGAAAGAGAGAAAAUAAAAUGAUCCGGGUUUAUAAUUUGUUUUCAAAAAUUUAGUUUGCGAAUUUGACCGAAUGCAAAACUUAUUGUUUAUGAGAGAGAGAGAGAGAGAGAGAGAGAGGAGACUUGAAAGAAUGUAGUAUUAAUUUCUACUUAAUUACUUCACUAAUAACACAAAAUUACUAUAACUUUGAUUAAUCAAUUAAUUUUGUAUACUACUUAUCAAUGGUAAUUCAUGUAGGAAUAAAUAUACAUCAAGGCAAAAGCAUUUAAACCUACUUCAUUUUUCAUCCUUGUAUUCAUUAUUAUAAAAAAUAUUAACUUUUUCAUAAAUUGUACAAUAUCAAAGAAAAUAGCAUUAUAAAAACAAAUUGAUGUUUAGCAUAGGGCCAAUAAUUGGCAUAUAUCGAAAUAGGAAUUAAUGAAUAUAAAUUUGAUAAAAAUGAAGAAGAAUCACAUAAUAAUUAAAUGAAUGAACAUAGACGUAAACAUAAACGUAAAAGUAAACCCCAUGUUUUAAUUUAUCAUUGCAUUUUAUUCGCAUUAAUCCCUAAAUAACGUUUUAGUAUCUUAAAUUCAAGUGUGUUAUAUGAGUUGUAAACUUUCUUUGGGCUAUAUAAGUAAAGGGGUGUUGUAGAGAAAAUUACAUAGAAACAAUUAAUCAAAUCCAAGCAUGGGUGGCAAAUCCAAUCCAAGCAUGACCAAUGUGGUAUUGCUCAUAUCAUUUAUGAUGACUCUCUCACAUAUUCCAAUGCUCUUCGCAAAUUCCCUACAAGGCUACAAAGAGUAGGGAUUCGUCGAUUAGAUUAGUCCGAAACAUACAUAUAGAAUUAUCAACGAGUUUCGCAAACCAGAAAGUGUUAAAAUUCAUUGUUGGUCUUUGGACGAUGAUAUUGGAAGGCAUGUUUUGUGGUCUGGCCAAUAUUUUGAGUGGAGAUUUAGAAUGAGUUUCAAUAUCGGUAAACCUACAGUAUUCAAAUGCACGUUUGAAUGCCGCCAAUACACGAAGAACCUUACAACUCUAUAUAGCCCUUUGUUUAUUAAUAAUUCAUGGUCUUGCAAAUUUUGUCUUCUUAGGCUAAAUAGAUACGGUCUUACAGGGCCAAAUUUUAAGAGCCCCUGGUAGAAAGCCGAUUGAAGCCUAAUUUAAAGUUUGUAUGAAAUAACCAACCACACAACUAGUUGAUUGUCAAAGCAUUUUCAUCGCAUUAAUAUGUUUGGUUGAAAAUGUAAUUUUAAUUGUCCACUCAUACCUUAGCCUUUAAGCAUUUUUAACACAUUGAUCUUCAUUAAGUAGUUCAAAAAAGGAUUUAGAAGACUAAAGUUAGGAGACACUUAGGAAUUUUUAUUCAAAAUCAUCCACUUAUCUAAAACACUCACAAAUAUAAUGUUUUAGGUUUAGAUAGGUACUAGUAUAAAUGUUUCAAUCAAAAUUGUAAUUGGCUUACUGCCAAAAGGCCACUCCAUGCACACGAAAGACCCAUGUUUGACCCUUGGCCUUCCAUGCAUGCCAUUCACCUAGUAAAAUAAGAACUAGACUGACAAGGGAAUGUCCCACUAAUAAUUAUAACAUAUGCAAUUCAAAAUUCAAAUGGCUUUAAUUAAGGAAAUUGUUUGAUAAUUAUCAAACUGACUCUAGCCAUGUAGCUAUAUUUUUAGGAAUAAUUUUCAAUAUUUUGAAUUAAUAACCAUUAUCCUUAUCUUAACAAAUUCCAAUUUUUAGCAAGCUCUUUAAUCACUCUUUCUGUCACCAUAAUCUAAAAAAAUUACCAUGAUUAGAACUCAACAUAGGUAACCCUCUUUCCCUAGAUAAUUCUAUCAUCAACUUGAUUACUUUUCUUUCAAUUU
rnacentral:lncRNA from 1 species